rnacentral:rRNA from 1 species
CUACGGGGCGCACCAGUGAGGAAUAUUGCACAAUGGGGGGAACCCUGAUGCAGCAACGCCGCGUGGAGGAUGACGCAUUUCGGUGUGUAAACUCCUUUUAUAUGUCAAGAAAAUGACGGUAGCAUAUGAAUAAGCACCGGCUAACUCCGUGCCAGCAGCCGCGGUAAUACGGAGGGUGCAAGCGUUACUCGGAAUCACUGGGCGUAAAGGACGCGUAGGCGGGGUGGAAAGUCAGGUGUGAAAUUCUACAGCUUAACUGUAGAACUGCACUUGAAACUUCUAAUCUAGAGUAUGGGAGGGGGAGAUGGAAUUAGUGGUGUAGGGGUAAAAUCCGUAGAUAUCACUAGGAAUACCUAAAGCGAAGGCGAUCUCCUGGAACAUUACUGACGCUAAGGCGUGAAAGCGUGGGGAGCAAACAGGAUUAGAUACCCUCGUAGUC